CAGCAGCCGCGGGAAUACAGAGGGUGCAAGCGUUAAUCGGAAUUACUGGGCGUAAAGCGCGCGUAGGCGGUUUGUUAAGUUGGAUGUGAAAUCCCCGGGCUCAACCUGGGAACUGCAUCCAAAACUGGCAAGCUAGAGUAUGGUAGAGGGUGGUGGAAUUUCCUGUGUAGCGGUGAAAUGCGUAGAUAUAGGAAGGAACACCAGUGGCGAAGGCGACCACCUGGACUGAUACUGACACUGAGGUGCGAAAGCGUGGGGAGCAAACAGGAUUAGAUACCCCAGUAGUCCCUGUCUCUUAUCA
rnacentral:rRNA from 1 species